UGGGGAAUUUUGGACAAUGGGCGAAAGCCUGAUCCAGCAAUGCCGCGUGUGUGAAGAAGGCCUUCGGGUUGUAAAGCACUUUUGUCCGGAAAGAAAUCCUUGGCUCUAAUACAGUCGGGGGAUGACGGUACCGGAAGAAUAAGCACCGGCUAACUACGUGCCAGCAGCCGCGGUAAUACGUAGGGUGCAAGCGUUAAUCGGAAUUACUGGGCGUAAAGCGUGCGCAGGCGGUUUGCUAAGACCGAUGUGAAAUCCCCGGGCUCAACCUGGGAACUGCAUUGGUGACUGGCAGGCUAGAGUAUGGCAGAGGGGGGUAGAAUUCCACGUGUAGCAGUGAAAUGCGUAGAGAUGUGGAGGAAUACCGAUGGCGAAGGCAGCCCCCUGGGCCAAUACUGACGCUCAUGCACGAAAGCGUGGGGAGCAAACAGGAUUAGAUACCCUGGUAGUCCACGCCCUAAACGAUGUCAACUAGUUGUUGGGGAUUCAUUUCCUUAGUAACGUAGCUAACGCGUGAAGUUGACCGCCUGGGGGAGUACGGUCGCAAGAUUAAAACUCAAGGAAUUGACGGGGUCAUAGCUGUUUCC
rnacentral:rRNA from 1 species